rnacentral:sRNA from 1 species
CGUCGCUCAAAUGUAGCACCGUCGUCUGCGUGAUCUGCUUGGAGAAGCCUAAAUACCGCUGUCCAGCCUGCCGCGUGCCCUAACGGACUCUCGUCCUGUCACUCAGGCUGGAGUGCAGCAGCGCAAUCUCGGCUCACUGCAACCUUUCCCUCCCAGAUUCAAGCAAUUCUCGUGCCUCAGCCUCCUGAGUAGCUGGGACUACAGGCGCCUGCCACUACACCCAACCAAUUUUUGUAUUUUUAGUAGAGAUGGGGUUUCGCCAUGUUGGCCAGGCUGGUCUCGAACUCCUGACCUCAGGUGAUACGCCCGCCUCGGCUUCCCAAAGUGCUGGGAUUAUAGGCGUGAGCCACCGCUUCAGGCCCUAAGCUAAACUUUCAUCACCUCCUGCUCCUGACUCAUCUAAAGCCUUGGUUCUCAGUGUGGUUCAUGGAGCAUCAGAAUCAACUGGGAGCUUGCUAGAAACGCAGCACUGCAUUUGGAAAUGGGACUAGAUUAGAGAUGCCGAAAUAAUUAGAAGCAGUUUUUAAAAAGAUAAAGGGCUCUGGAAGAUUCCCAGUUAUAACAAAGUAAAUAAUCCAAAUCUUCAGCUGGUUGGGACGUGCAGCCCUCUGGUUUACCUGGUAGGGUUAGGGACGGAUCUUGUCCCAGCCUCAGUCUCACUCCCGCUGUGAACUUGUAGGCUUUGCUCCUACUGUCCUCAGGAACAAAGCUGUCAUGGCCAUCACACACAACGUACCUGAGGCAGCGCUCGGAUGGACGUGACACCAGCCUGGUCUUGUGCUGUCUGGACAGUGUAGCUACUGGGGCUGCCCC